AGCAGCCGCGGUAAUUCCAGCUCCAAUAGCGUAUAUUAAAGUUGUUGCAGUUAAAAAGCUCGUAGUUGAAUUUCGGGAUCAAUUUAUCGGUCGUGCCAAUGGUAUGAACUGGUACAAUUGGUUUCUCCCUUCUGACGAAGCAUGAUGUCAUUAAUUUGGUGUCGUGGGGAAUCAGGACUGUUACUUUGAAAAAUUAGAGUGUUUAAAGCAAGCAUUAGCUUGAAUACAUUAGCAUGGAAUAAUGAAAUAGGACGUUUGAUCCUAUUUCGUUGGUUUCUAGGAUCGACGUAAUGAUUAAUAGGGAUAGUUGGGGCAUUAGUAUUCAAUUGUCAGAGGUG
rnacentral:rRNA from 1 species